rnacentral:rRNA from 1 species
AUUGAACGCUGGCGGCAGGCCUAACACAUGCAAGUCGAACGAGUGGCGGACGGGUGAGUAAUGUCUGGGAAACUGCCUGAUGGAGGGGGAUAACUACUGGAAACGGUAGCUAAUACCGCAUACCAUCGGAUGUGCCCAGAUGGGAUUGGCUAGUAGGUGGGGAAAAGGCUCACCUAGGCGACGAUCCAUAGCUGGUCUGAGAGGAUGACCAGCCACCCGGGAACGGAGACAGGGGCCAGACUCCUACGGGAGGCAGCGGUGGGGAAUAUUGCACAAGGGGCGAAAGCCUGAUGCAGCCAUGCCGGGUGUAUGAAGAAGGCCUUGGGGUUGUAAAGUACUUUAAGCGGGGAGGCGUUACCCGCAGAAAAAGCACCGGCUAACACCGUGCCAGCAGCCGCGUAAUUC